rnacentral:rRNA from 1 species
UACGUAGGGUGCAAGCGUUGUCCGGAAUUAUUGGGCGUAAAGAGCUCGUAGGCGGUUUGUUGCGUCGGCUGUGAAAUCCCGAGGCUCAACCUCGGGUCUGCAGUCGAUACGAGCAAACUAGAGUGUUGCAGGGGAGACUGGAAUUCCUGGUGUAGCGGUGAAAUGCGUAGAUAUCUGGAGGAACACCGGUGGCGAAGGCGGCAUCCUGGACCAACACUGACACUGAGGAGCGAAAGCCAGGGGAGCAAACGGG